UAGGAUGAAACUGGGCACUGUAGUUUUGCAUUGGUAAAAUUCGAUUUUUUUCUUUUGCUCAUAUUCAAACGUAUGUAAUUGCAGUCUUAAAAUAAAUAGCUGAAGUACUCCGUAUUUAUAUGAAAGAUUCACGAGAUUUACCUUUGAACUUUUUUAGUAUGAAACCGUGAAACUUCGAAUCAGCUCCCUCAAAGCAAAUAAUGAUUUUACCGGUUAUAUAUUUAAUAUAUAAAACGUAGUUAUAUUUUUUUACUUAUGUUUUGUUGCAAAGCAGUUAUAAUAUCAACAUUAUUUAUUA
rnacentral:lncRNA from 1 species